rnacentral:lncRNA from 1 species
AUGGUUUAGCUUCAUUCUUAAUGAGUUGAAAGUCGUUUGCAACUAAAAAGUGAUUGGAGAUGAGUUUGGAGAACCGGAUAUGUGUUGUGGUUCUAUGUUGGUAACUCAUUAUGUCGGUAACUCAUUUGUCUCUAUAUACAACCGUCUUUACAACCAUAUCCUCGUGUUUAAUGCGCUGUUAUCAUAGUCUGUCUAACGUCUUUCGAGUAGAAUGUAUCACAGUAAAUGUUUUAGUGGUAGGACGUAGUCACAUAACUAAUCACAUUGUGCAAUGAAACUCAUAUAACUCUACAUGUGUUUUUGUCAAAGCUUCAUUGUAUAUACAAACUGCACUUACGAAACACAGACAGAUUUACCCACCAAUGCACCUGUGCAAAGUCUACAGCAGUUAUUUACAGUAGGAUAUAAAAGGCAAAACUAAGCUAAAAACAUGGAACUAUUUACAAUGAUCGACAUGUAACAUUAUUUUACCUUUUGCUUAACCUUUUAUGUUUUAUUUGCUCUUGAAAAUAACAGUUAAAAACUUCACACAGGUGCAAACUCUAAAUCUUGCCCACAAGUCUUUCAUUCUCCCUUUUCAUUUUCUGUGUGAGUGAAAUCAGUAUGCGUAAAAGAAAUGUCAUCAGUAUCGUGAUAUUGUCAUGGUGUUUGAUCAACUCAGACAAUUCACAGAAAACUGAAAUGACGCAUGUUCUUACCAUCUUUGUCCUUUUUCAUUACUUUUCAUUUUCUUUUCAGAAAAGUUCAUUUUUAUGUUCUGUUUGAUGGAAAUAUAUGGAAUUUACUUAUUUGUUUAACAUUAGUUAUAGAACAAUGUUGUAUUCUAUUUUAAAAUGAAUGUAAUUUAUUAAGCUGAGCUUUGCUCUGCUGGCGGUUAUUCAAAUGACCUGUCCUGUCACGUUAGCCUAUGAAAAGCCGUCUGUGACCAGGGAUGGAAUGUUGGAGCUACCAAUGGCAAGCUUCCACAUCUCAUCCUUGUCACUGCCUUGUCACCUAUACAGGACAACACACUGCAGUACGAGCAAGGCUGUAGAAUUGCUUUUAUUAUGUAUAAAAACAGUUUAUUGUAUAGGUCACAGUCUACCAAAAAAAAAUAACAUUUAAGUAAAUUUACUUUUCAUUGUAGUACUGUAUAAUUUCAUAACUAUAUUAAUUUGUCUCUGUGGCAACCUAAAGUUGCAAUGACGGAAGCUCUGUAUUUUUGUAAAUGAUGUAAUUGUUACGUUUUCUAGAGCACUGUAACACACUAGAUUGUAUUGCCAGAAUCUGAACAGUUCCUAUUUUAUGGCAAAAUUAUAUACAACAAUAUUUUCAGUAUCAUAAUGCCUUUGUAUUACAGUAGUAUAUUCCUUUUGCAUUUGACAGCCUACCCAUGACACUUAAAUGUCCCUAAAUACAUGCUCUAAUCUAUUCUACCAAAAAUGAGCUCUCUAAAGUCCUCUUACAAAGCAUCCCUAGACUCAUAAAGGCAAUGGAAAACUCAAAAAGCUGUGUUUUGAUGGUUGUUCAGCUGUUUAGAAUUGCACUUUGUUCCCAGAAUAAAGUUAUUUUUACACUGCAGAAAAAGUAUGUUAAACAUGUAGUCAUGGGUAUGGCUAAUCUGGCAGUGAUACUCUUAAAUUAUUUCAAUUGUUCACCGAAGGCGUCUUUCACCAAAAAAAUGCUCUUUGAAAACGGAUUUGGACAGUCAGAAUGUGUUCACUUUUACUGACCCAAUGGUAACAUGAUUCCUACCCACUGGGCACAGACUUCAAUUGAACGUAUAUUCCAUGUUGGUUCAACGUAAUUUGGUUGAAAUUACGUGGAAACAACGUUGAUUUAACCAGUGUGUGCCCUGUGGGUAAGCACUUUCUGAACAGUUGGUAAACUAAGCAGACAAACUUAUUAGUGAACUUUGCCUUACCUUUGAUGUAUUGUUCUUAAGUUGUUAUGUGUUAGGGUUCAUUAAAUAUAAGGAUUGUAUUUAGUCUAUUGCAAUUAGUGAAAUAUGCUGUUUUAAUUCUCACUACAGACAUUUUCAUUUUGAGGCCAAAAUGGUAGAUUGUAAAGAGUGCAGUCAAACACUUUACUGAGAAAAGCUUGAUGAUGAGAAAACUGGCGGGUGCCAUUCUAAAUGGCUGUGGUACAGUUACUGCAGAGUUGUGUUUAAAGUGCUGUGCCAGUGCCACAUAUGGUUCCAUCGGUAAUGCCGUACUCUUUAACAGAGGGGAAAAGUACAAACCCUUACUCAUUUUGAAUCUGUUCAUGUGGCAAUUUUUUAAUGUUUUAUUUGUGCAUAAUUAUGUGCUCUUUUAUGAUAUAUAUAUAUAUAUAUAUAUACUAUAUAUAUAUAGUAGUUUUGUUUUGU